rnacentral:rRNA from 1 species
UGAGGAACAUGACCUUCGGCGGGGGAUAGCCGGCCCAACGGCCGGGUAAUACCGCGUACGACCACUCGGGGACAUCCCUAGGUGGUGAAAGCAGCAAUGCGCCGAUGGAGUGCCUCGCGGCCUAUCAGCUAGUUGGUGAGGUAACGGCUCACCAAGGCGACGACGGGUAGCUGGUCUGAGAGGAUGGCCAGCCACAUUGGGACUGAGACACGGCCAGACCUCCGUACGGGAGCAG